rnacentral:rRNA from 1 species
GACGAACGCUGGCGGCGUGCUUAACACAUGCAAGUCGAACGGAAAGGUUCUGCUUUUGCGGGCUGCUCGAGUGGCGAACGGGUGAGUAACACGUGAGUACCCUGCCCUUGCCUUCGGGAUAACUUCAGGAAACUGGGGGUAAUACCGGCUAGUAGCUCCUGCUGUUUGGUGGGGGUUGGAAAGUUUCGGUGGAUGGGGAUGGACUCGCGGCUUAUCAGCCCGUUGGUGGGGUAGUGGCUUACAAAGGUUUCGACGAUUGGCCGGCCUGAGAGGGUGACAGGCCACAUUGGGACAGGGAUGGCGCCAAGACUGCAUCGGGAGGCAGGGGUGAGGGUUAGUGCACGAUGGGCGGAAGCCGUGUGCAGCAUCUCCGCGUGGGAGAUGACUGCCUUAGGGUUGUAAACCGCUUUCGCCUGGGAAGAAGCGUGAGUGACGGUAAUGUGUAAAGAAGCACCGGCUAACUACGUG